GGCAGGAACCAUGGAGGGUGCAGAAGAGGAAAAGAAGAAGGUUCCUGCUGUACCAAAAACCCUUAAGAAAAAGUGGAGGAAUUUCUCAGAGCAGAUCAAGUGCCUGAGAAAGAAGUUUGCCCAAAAGAUGCUUCAAAAGGCAAGGAGGAAGCUUAUCUAUGAAAAGGUUAAGCAUCUCACAGGGAACAGAGGCAGAUGCAGAGCUGAGGUUCAAAUGGCCAGGGCGGCAAGAAGGGCUGGUGGCUUCUAUGCACCUGUGGAACCUGAAUUGGCAUCUGUCAUCAGGAUCGGAGGUGCCAACGGUGUGAGCCCAAAAGUCCGAGAAGUGCAGCUGCUUCGCUGUCGCCAGAUCUUCAGUGGCACCUUUGUGAAGCUCAGCAAGGCUUCAGUGAACAUGCUGAGGACUGUGGACCCAUAUAUUGCAGGGGGCGCCCAACCUGGUCAGUAAACGAACUGAUGUACAAGUGUGGCUAUGGCAAAAUCAACCAAAAGCGAACUGCCCUGGCGGACCACACACCGGGAAAUACGGCACCGCCUGCGCGCAGCGCCUGCUUCAUGAAUCCAUACUUCCAGCUUCCGGUGGCCCCUCAAACGACCCUCCCCGCCAGGGGAAUGGCCACCCCCCAUUUAGUAGGAGGCGGGGGUGCCGGUGACCGGGAAGGCCAGGCCAACAGGCUUAUCAGAAGGAUGACCAGAGGCCUCUGCCGCGGCUAUUUCUGUACUCUAGUCAGUUAA